rnacentral:rRNA from 1 species
UACGUAGGGGGCAAGCGUUGUCCGGAUUUACUGGGCGUAAAGAGCGUGUAGGCGGCCACGCAGGUCCGUUGUGAAAACUGGAGGCUCAACCUUCAGACGUCGACGGAAACCGUGUGGCUAGAGUCCGGAAGAGGAGAGUGGAAUUCCUGGUGUGGCGGUGAAAUGCGCAGAUAUCAGGAAGAACACCAAUGGCGAAGGCAGCUCUCUGGGACGGUACUGACGCUGAGACGCGAAAGCGUGGGGAGCGAACAGG